UACGUAGGGUGCAAGCGUUGUCCGGAAUUAUUGGGCGUAAAGAGCUCGUAGGCGGUCUGUCGCGUCGGCUGUGAAAUCCCGAGGCUCAACCUCGGGUCUGCAGUCGAUACGGGCAAACUGGAGUGUUGCAGGGGAGACUGGAAUUCCUGGUGUAGCGGUGAAAUGCGCAGAUAUCAGGAGGAACACCGGUGGCGAAGGCAGAUCUCUGGGCCGUAACUGACGCUGAGGAGCGAAAGCAUGGGGAGCGAACAGG
rnacentral:rRNA from 1 species